rnacentral:lncRNA from 1 species
CCGGCAUCCCACGCCGAGGGUGGUGGUGGCAGGCUUUCCAGAAAGGCAGCACACCAGGCUCAGCUCUGCUGGCGAGCAGGAGGCGACGGCAGAGGAAACUUCAACCCGAUGAACUUCCUGGUUGCGGGGACAUUUGCCUCCUCCUGCCACUCACCACCUCUGCUCUGGUCCCUCCCUCCAAGAAUCCUCAUAGCGUCCUCUCUCCCCACUCUCUCCCAUCCCGCGUCUCCCAUAUUUGCCCCAGCUUGGCUCAGGGCCACAGUUCUGCACUCUUCAGCCGGCGGCGCCACCAGCAGUUGUUUCUACGCGGGAAAUAGGGCAACAGCAUCCCAGCACAGCUGAGUGCCCAAGGAUGGUCAGCCGGGUAGGGCAAGAAGCUUCUUUCAGGGAUUCUGAUCUCACGAAACAAGAGUAAUGAUGGCACUUCACUCAGAGGUUUGUCCUGAGGCUUAAAUGAGGCAACAUGGACACAGCAUUUUAGCACAAGGCCAGAUGUGAUGGUGCUGAUGUUUAAGAAGAAAGUCCUUAUUAGGAGGAUGCUGCUGAAAUAUUUAAGGACAAAGUGUCAUAAUGUCUGCAUUUACUCCCAAAUGUCUCAUCAAAAAUGUGCAAAUAUGAAGUAAAUGGGGCAAAAUCUUAAUAAGAAGUGAAUGUAGGUGAGUGCUACUAUUUAACAUUUUUGGAGACUCAAAAAUUUGCAAAAUUAAAAAUUG